rnacentral:lncRNA from 1 species
AUGGAUAAAAUUAGAAAGAAAGUCAAAACCUCAUAAAAUACGUACGGGAAAGUAAGCAGAAAUUUACGUGCAAAGUUCCACUUCUCGGGGAAGGGAAUGUUUGAUUCACCCAGCAAAUCCACUAUUGAACAGCAAUAUAAUGAAGAUACCACCCACGGUCUUUAUCAUCAUCGGCGUUUACCAAAACUUUCUUACUCCUCGUAGUUAAGGUAAAAACCUCAUAGCGCAGUAGGCUGGGAUGGUAUAAGUGGAUGAGAUGGGAAAACGUAAAAUUGAUUUUCGCUUUAAUAGAUAAAAUCUCAAACAAUCUACAACCCUCCAUACAAAAGGGCCAACUUGAGCCAAUAAAAAGUUGAAAAAUCGACAGAAAUCAAGGAUAACUGGAUCUAUGGCAUGUUUGAAUCCUAAAGUGAAGGGGUAGGUGUAAACAAAAGAAAUCCCUGUCUAUAGGAUGAAAUUCUCUGACUUAUGGAAGGAACUGAUAAACGAACACCCUCUUUCCAAUUGCAGUCUUUUCUAAUGGUAGGGACUGUGAGUUCAGUUAUAAGAGAGGGGUAAGGGUCAGCCUUUUCAUGUUUCGCAAUUUACUUUUGAAGAGAUGUUCUAUCACUCGCAAAAGAUAAAUCAUUCAGUAUAAUUUAUUCAACUGUGGGUUCUAGAGAAGGGUCUGAAACGUCUUUACCUUUCAAAGAGGGAGUUUUUGAAGAGGAACCUUUGACGCUAGAACUUAGAGAAGGAGGAGUAGAACCAGUUAAACCUCCACGUGUAGAUCCCAAACUUCGAAGUCUUCCUCCUCUGCUUCUUGUAUGUUUGAUUGGAGCAGGCGCAUUCGGAAAUUAAUCGAGAAGUAGAACCUUCCUGGGGUUAGGGUUUGGAGAUGCCAUUGUUACAUAAGCUUGAAGUGAAGAGGAGUAAAAGAAGGAAAAGGGAUGAUUGAUGAAAAUCGAUGAAGAAUAUGACAAAGGAAGUGUGAAUUAAAAGGUUAUAUGAAAACAACUGUCAAAAUAAGGGGUGCAAUGAUGGAAAGCCUAUAUUAAAGAUAACUAUCACUUCGUAAACAGAGGAAGUUGAACAAGCCUAGAAAAGUGGGUAAGAAACUGCAGAUUUAAUCAGAAGAUGACACGUGUAUGGAGCAUUAAAUGAGAUAAGACAUAUGGGACGUCAAUACUGUCACACGCAUUAAUUGUGACAAAAUUUCUCUUUUAUGAAGAUACACUUUCCAAUUAUUUAAUUGAUAAAUAAAUGAGAAGUGGGUGGACUAUCUGUAUUAAGAAAAAAUUGAAUUUAUUAAAGAUGAUGUGGUAUGACACGUGGAUUGUCAAAUAGUCAAAGAGCAAUAAUGAUUAAAAGGCACGGAAGACAACAGACAUGGGAGGAGAAAAGAAAAUAGACACGAGAGGGAGUCUCAGAUACGAGUCUUGUAUCUAUUCAAGUUAUUUAAUACCAACGGAUAAAAAGGGCACUGAAGACAACAAUAUGAUGACAAAAAGUAGUCUACAUUCAUUAUUAAAUAUAUGAUACGUUAGUUAAUCAGUAUUUAAUAUCAAUGAUUGUGUAAUGUCUCAUUAAAUGCUCUUUAUUAUUUAGAUUAAGCUGUUACUCCUUAUCAGCUAUAAAAGGAUGAGGUUUCUUCAUUUGUAAGGACACAGAACAUUCUUGACAUCAUACUGAAAUACUUAUUGCUUUAUUUUUAUUCUUUGAAAGCCUAUUAGUUUGGUCUCUAGAUUGUCAGUAACCCGAUUUCUUUUCUCUAAAUUCAAGCUUUGACCAAAUUAUAUUUUAUAUUUUUUGGUUAAACACACACUAAGCUCUCUACACUUCAUUUGCAGCGACAUCCCAUUUCCUUAAACACCCUUUUGCAAUAAUGUUAAGUACUGUCUGACAAAACUACCAUACGUAAAGUCUAUUUUACACUCCAAUCCUAGAGGAUUAGACAUUACUUUACCCAAAGUUUAGAUUUGGGCUCAGCCAAUUACAUUUAACAAAAUAGAGUCAAUCUUAGCCAAUUAAUAUUCAAAAGAUAAGUUAACUGAUUUUUUUAGUAAG